rnacentral:snoRNA from 1 species
UCCCUAUGAGGAAGCAAACCCAAUUGAUAGGAAGUGCCGUAUGACACUUAAACAGCAGCGGUAAA